GUGGAGAACAGAGGGAACCAGCGCCGGAGGCUGUUUCGUGAGCGGCUGCUGCGUUUCCAUGUGGAUGUCUGACAGUAAACAUGCGUCCUUGUGUUCAAGGGCAAACCAGAGUGUUGACUUAGUGGCUGCAGAACAGAAGGACAACCAUCAGACGGGGACAUGGAUGUCGGGGACAGCUAUGCAGCCGUGACAAAGCUGCUCCUAACUGAGUGCAGAGCUCUGAACGAUUACCAGCGCAAACAGAGGACCAGACACUUCACUACAUGGGUGGCAGACAGUAAAACACAGAAGAAAGAAUACUUCUCCGAGUACUUAAAACAUCAUUUCCUGCUUUGUCUAUUUCCUCAACACAGACCACAACAACAGAGGAUAAAAACUGAAUUUUCUUUUGGUCUCAGGUUUUUAUUAAAAUCCUGCUGGAGGUCACAGACUCACAGAGGGAGUUUUUCAGUAUACUUUUCAUCCUUGUACAGAAACAGCUGAAUGUGUACUGCAUUAAAGGAUCUCACUACAUCACAGGAAUCUACCUCGACCGAGUUUAUAUUUCAUCGACCCUGGGGGAAAAAAAAGAACACGUCUAGGGUCGUCUUUUGGAAACGCCAUUAAAAACCUCUUGUUAGGCUGGAGGUCAGAAAAAUAAAUGUUUUUUUUUUAUUACA